CUAUGCAUACCCUCUGCCAUUUCCUUUAUCUUAAAAACUAAGAUUUCCAUUCAUCCCUCACAAUUCACUCUCUGCAAUUCACUCUCUGCAAAGAAAGAUUUCAGAUUCAAGAUCAAGACUCAGUCAAGCUUCACACACUUCAUCCUAUCGACAUUUCUUAAGGUUCCAUCAUAAACUUCUCUUACCUCUUUUUCCUUUCACAGCAAGAUUCGAGAUUUCCAAUCAACCAUAAGUUUACAUGUUUUGCAAAACUGUAAAAGAUGCAAACUUUUAUAUAUAAUCAUAUUCGGUCACAUCAUCAUUGUGUGUGUGUGUGUGUAUAUAUAUAUAUAUAUAUUAUAGAUAUUCAAAGAUUUAAGAAUACGGCUUUCACAAAAAAAAAAUGAGGGAGAAGUAGAUUUUUGAAGCUGUGUUUGCAUUCUUCGUUUUCAACUUUCAAUGUCGAGUCGGGAAGGGUGGGAGUGUUGACUGGUUGGCUGAAUCGGAGCUCGGCGGCGGCGGUGGCGGCCUGGCAGCUGCUGUCCGUCAAAGCCAGAGAGGAGAGGGGAGAACAGAGGGCAAUCUUGAGGGUGAAAUCGGCGACUGGCAGCGGUGGUUUGUUGCUGUCGAUGACGGUGGCAUCCGCUUGCUGCAAUCGCCGGAAUGGUGGAGAGCAGUAGGGGUGGCCUUCGUUUUGCUCACCGGAGUUUGAAGGGAGAUGGAACAAUGGCAGAUUGAGAGGGAGAAUCGGAGGUGGUAGUGGCGAGGGCGGCGGCGCGACGGUCCUUCGGGAUGCCGUUGCUCGACCGACCGAGAGGGAGAAAGAAGAGCAGGCAGCGGUGUUGUUGCGGUCGCCGUCGCGGCGCUGUGGUCGCCGGAGUGAUCGCCCACCGCGAGCAGGAGGAGAGAAAGAGACGGCGAGAGAGGAUGGGCCGUGAGGAGGCGCGGCUGCCGUCGACUCGCCGGGACUGGAGAAGGCGGCGGCGGCGGAUCUGUGGAGGGAGAAGAGGCGGUGGUUUUGAGAGAGAGAAAAAGAGUAAUUUUUGAGAGAGAGAGAGGACCGAUGGAGGGGUUGAGGAGAGAGAGAUGAGCUUGUUUUAAUUAUUCCUUUUUUUAUAGGGCUUUAUUUCUUUAAAGUUUGGACUUUCAUUUUGGGCCUCAAUAAUUAUUUUGCUAUGGGCCGACUCUUUUAUUAAUUUGAUGGACUGAUUUCUAUUUGUGAAUGGGCUGCUUUUUUUUUUAAACAAAAGCUAUGUGUUCAGUUUAUAUAUUUUACUUGAGCUCAUUUAAAUUGGGUAGGCCUAUUACAUUAUUUUCUUAAACCUUAAUUAUUAUUUUGAGCCUGUAAAUAUUUUAGUAAAUUUUAUUUACUUUUCUCCCAAUAUUAAGGUUUUGUAUUUUCUUUAAAUUAUUAACUAUUUAUAAAUUUAGUGAUAAUUAUAUUUAUUAAGUUAUUAAUUAUGUAUUAAAAGUUUAUGGAUUCACUUAAAGAUAUUAUAGAAUUCUUAUUCGGGCAAAGUGUAUCAAUAGUUAGCAAUCCCCAUAAUUGUUUAGAAGUUAGAAUAGCACCAAGAGACCUAUUAAGAAUAGAUUUCUUGUAGGCUUGAGGAUCAGGAGGAUUAGCACUGCGUUUCCGUGACGGGUUUACGAUUAAACUACAGGCUUUGCCUAUUCAGGUGGGUUAUAUUUUGCAUACAAUGUAUCUUGAGUUAUAUAAGCUCUGAUAUUUCAUGAAAAUUAUCUGUUUAUCCAAUAUAAAUGUUUUUAUGUGCGUUCUGUAAUUGUUUAAGGCUCACUUAAGUAUCGAUCGAGAUUCUCAUUUGGCCUAACACGCUAAACGAGGAUUGUGUACACAGGGUUAGUGGCUCGAUGGGUUGAUCACCAUCGUGCACUAACAGAUUUAGAACGUUAUAAGGGUGGGUGCUUGACAGGAGGUUAUCCGGAGCACGGUGCUUGACAGGAGGUUAUCCGGAGCACAGUUAAGGUUAUUGAUUCCGACCGGGUGCGUCCCGAGAUCAAUAACAGAUUUUGGAUCUGUCUGGGUGCGUCCCGAGAUCAGUGAAUGUAGGGAGAAAGUGAGUAACAAUCGAACGUACAUGGGCGCCCUCGACAAGAAAAUAUUUUUGUCAUGCUUAGAAGUGGGGUUUCGUUUUAAAACCUUCUAAGUCAUGAUUUUGAUAUUGGAUAAACUGCCUUAACAUUUCAUAAAAUAUUUCGAAAACUUGUGCCCACUGAGUACAUUAGUACUCAGCCCAAAUUAUUUUCAAAUAUUUUCAGGUUGAUCAGUUGGUGCAGAUGAGGCUGAGCUGAGGCUAAGGUUCCACGAUGUCUUUUGCUUCCGCUAAUAACUAUCUUGUCACCUCAUCCUCCAUCCCCUAAAUUGAGAAUUCCUAUUGUGUGGUAUAAUAUUAUCUUGUUGGGUUUAGACUCUUAAACCCAUAUUUCUUUUAAUGAAGCCAUCACUGAUUAUGAUCAGAGUCACGAAACUAAACUUAUGCGAUCCUGAGUUCGAAUAUUGUCAUUUGAUUAGCAUCUAUUAAUGCCUUU
rnacentral:lncRNA from 1 species